UACGUAGGGAGCGAGCGUUAUCCGGAAUUAUUGGGCGUAAAGGGUGCGUAGAUGGUUGAUAUAAGUCUUUUGUAAAAAUGCUAGGCUCAACCUAGUAGGGCAAAAGAUACUGAUGAACUAGAGUACGGCAGAGGCAAGUGGAACUACAUGUGUAGCGGUAAAAUGCGUAGAUAUGUGGAAGAACACCGAUGGCGAAGGCAGCCUCCUGGGACGCAACUGACGCUCAUACACGAAAGCGUGGGGAGCAAACAGG
rnacentral:rRNA from 1 species